UGUGUACCUAGGUGCUCUGUUUUAGUGUUGACUGUUCUUUUUUCCUUCUGGGUAUAAUGACGGAUACAACAGAUGAUAUAGCUGAGGAAAUCUCAUUUCAAAGCUUUGAUGAUGACUGUAAACUGCUUGGGAAUCUGCUAAACGAUGUGUUGCAGAGAGAAGUUGGAGGCAGUUUUAUGGAGAAACUUGAAAGGAAUCGGAUCCUAGCUCAGAGUGCGUGUAAUAUGAGAUCGGCUGGGAUAGAGGAUACAGCUGAACUGCUAGAGAAGCAGCUGGCAUUGGAGAUGUCAAAGAUGACACUAGAGGAAGCCUUGACUCUUGCUCGUGCGUUUAGCCAUUACCUUAAUUUGAUGGGAAUUGCAGAGACCCAUCACAGGGUUCGUAGGGCGCGAAGUAUGACCCAUCUAUCAAAAUCUUGUGAUGACAUUUUUAAUCAGCUGUUGCAGGGUGAAGUUUCUCCAGAGGAGCUUUAUAACACAGUUUGCAAGCAGGAGGUUGAAAUUGUUCUUACUGCGCAUCCUACUCAAAUUAAUCGUCGUACCUUGCAAUAUAAGCACAUUAGAAUUGCUCAUCUUUUAGAUUAUAAUGACCGACCUGAUCUUACUCAUGAAGAUAGAGAAAUGCUGAUUGAAGAUCUGGUUAGAGAGAUUACUUCAAUAUGGCAGACAGACGAGCUCAGGCGUCAUAAACCUACGCCAGUGGAUGAAGCUAGGGCUGGCUUGAACAUUGUUGAGCAGUCCCUGUGGAAAGCUGUACCUCAUUAUUUACGUCGUGUCAGCAAUUCCCUAAAGAAGCAUACAGGAAAGCCACUUCCAUUAACUUGCACGCCAAUAAAGUUUGGAUCUUGGAUGGGGGGUGAUAGAGAUGGAAAUCCCAAUGUAACAGCAAAGGUCACAAGAGAUGUCUCUCUUUUGUCUAGGUGGAUGGCUAUUGACCUAUACAUUCGGGAAGUUGAUAGCCUCAGAUUCGAACUAUCCAUGAGUCAGUGCAGUGAUGGGAUGUUAAAAGUGGCAAAUGACAUUCUAGUAGAAGAAACUUCAUCAGAGGAUCGGUAUGAGAGUUGGAACCAAUCCAUGAUCAGAAGUCAAACAAAAUCUCAUGCCCAACAAACUCCAUCUCUUCCUACGCAACUUCCAGCUAGAGCUGAUCUUCCUGCCUGCACUGAUUGCAAUGAUGGUGGAUCUCAGUAUCCCAAACUGGAACUUCCAGGGACUGAUUACAUGCCCUUUGGUCAUCAGGAUGCCCUAGGUUCUUCAAGUUCAGAAUCUUCAUUCCAGGAUUCCAGUCAUGGUUCACACAAAUCAUUCCCAAAUGGAAGUAUUGCCAACUCCAGUGGUUCUUCCUCUUCUGGGACUCCACGGGGAUCUUUCACCUCUAGUCAACUACUUGCUCAGAGGAAGUUAUUCGCAGAGUCUAAGAUAGGAAGAUCCAGCUUCCAUAAGCUUCUAGAGCCAAGUCUGCCUCAACGUCCUGGAAUUGCUCCUUAUAGAAUUGUUCUUGGCAAUGUAAAAGAUAAGCUUACAAGGACAAGAAGACGGCUGGAACUUCUUCUAGAGGAUCUUCCCUGUGAAUAUGAUCCUUGGGAUUACUAUGAAACAACAGAGCAAUUAUUAGAACCAUUGCUUCUGUGCUACGAGUCUCUGCAAUCAUGCGGGGCUGGGGUUCUGGCUGAUGGUCGUUUGGCUGACCUGAUUAGAAGAGUUGCUACCUUUGGGAUGGUAUUAAUGAAGCUAGACCUGCGCCAGGAAUCUGGAAGACAUGCUGAAACACUAGAUGCAAUCACGAAAUAUUUGGACAUGGGAAUGUAUAGUGAGUGGGAUGAAGAAAAGAAACUGGAAUUUCUAACAAGAGAACUGAAAGGGAAGCGACCACUAGUUCCUCCUACUAUUGAGGUUGCUCCCGAUGUUAAAGAAGUUCUGGAUACUUUUCGAGUUGCUGCUGAGCUGGGAAGUGAUUCACUUGGAGCUUAUGUGAUUUCUAUGGCAUCCAAUGCAAGUGAUGUCCUUGCUGUGGAGCUUCUGCAGAAGGAUGCCCGGCUUGCUGUUAGUGGGGAGUUGGGGAGACCAUGUCCUGGCGGAACAUUGCGAGUGGUGCCAUUGUUUGAAACUGUGAAAGACCUGAGAGGGGCUGGUUCAGUGAUCAGAAAAUUGUUAUCAAUUGAUUGGUACCGGGAACACAUUAUUAAGAACCAUAACGGGCAUCAGGAGGUGAUGGUUGGAUAUUCUGAUUCUGGUAAAGAUGCUGGGCGUUUCACUGCUGCAUGGGAACUUUACAAAGCACAAGAGGAUGUUGUGGCAGCAUGCAAUGAAUAUGGUAUCAAAGUGACUCUAUUCCAUGGACGUGGAGGGAGUAUUGGUCGUGGUGGUGGCCCCACAUAUCUUGCCAUACAAUCCCAACCACCUGGUUCAGUAAUGGGGACUCUUAGGUCAACUGAGCAAGGAGAAAUGGUGCAGGCCAAGUUUGGGCUUCCACAUACUGCUGUCAGACAGCUAGAAAUAUACACAACUGCAGUCCUGCUAGCAACCCUUUGUCCCCCGCUUCCACCUCGAGAACAAAAAUGGCGCAAUGUCAUGGAGGAGAUAUCAAAAAUCAGUUGCCAAAAUUACAGGAGUACAGUCUAUGAAAAUCCAGAAUUCCUUGCUUACUUCCACGAGGCUACUCCCCAGGCUGAGCUUGGCUUUCUUAACAUAGGAAGCAGGCCCACAAGAAGAAAGAGCACAACUGGUAUUGGACAUCUUCGUGCCAUUCCAUGGGUAUUUGCUUGGACUCAAACCAGAUUUGUGCUUCCUGCUUGGCUUGGAGUUGGAGCAGGUCUAAAGGGUGCUUGUGAGAAGGGAUUUACUGAAGACUUGAAAGCAAUGUACAAAGAAUGGCCUUUUUU
rnacentral:misc_RNA from 1 species